rnacentral:rRNA from 1 species
AGUCGAGCGAACGGACGAGAAGCUUGCUUCUCUGAUGUUAGCGGCGGACGGGUGAGUAACACGUGGAUAACCUACCUAUAAGACUGGGAUAACUUCGGGAAACCGUAGCUAAUACCGGAUAAUAUUUUGAACCGCAUGGUUCAAAAGUGAAAGACGGUCUUGCUGUCACUUAUAGAUGGAUCCGCGCUGCAUUAGCUAGUUGGUAAGGUAACGGCUUACCAAGGCAACGAUGCAUAGCCGACCUGAGAGGGUGAUCGGCCACACUGGAACUGAGACACGGUCCAGACUCCUACGGGAGGCAGCAGUAGGGAAUCUUCCGCAAUGGGCGAAAGCCUGACGGAGCAACGCCGCGUGAGUGAUGAAGGUCUUCGGAUCGUAAAACUCUGUUAUUAGGGAAGAACAUAUGUGUAAGUAACUGUGCACAUCUUGACGGUACCUAAUCAGAAAGCCACGGCUAACUACGUGCCAGCAGCCGCGGUAAUACGUAGGUGGCAAGCGUUAUCCGGAAUUAUUGGGCGUAAAGCGCGCGUAGGCGGUUUUUUAAGUCUGAUGUGAAAGCCCACGGCUCAACCGUGGAGGGUCAUUGGAAACUGGAAAACUUGAGUGCAGAAGAGGAAAGUGGAAUUCCAUGUGUAGCGGUGAAAUGCGCAGAGACAUGGAGGAACACCAGUGGCGAAGGCGACUUUCUGGUCUGUAACUGACGCUGAUGUGCGAAAGCG